rnacentral:rRNA from 1 species
GUGUCAGCAGCCGCGGUAAUACGGAGGGUGCAAGCGUUAUCCGGAUUCACUGGGUUUAAAGGGUGCGUAGGUGGGCAAGUAAGUCAGUGGUGAAAUCUCCGGGCUUAACCCGGAAACUGCCAUUGAUACUAUUUGUCUUGAAUACUGUGGAGGUCAGCGGAAUAUGUCAUGUAGCGGUGAAAUGCUUAGAUAUGACAUAGAACACCAAUUGCGAAGGCAGCUGGCUACACAAAUAUUGACACUGAGGCACGAAAGCGUGGGGAUCAAACAGGAUUAGAUACCCUGGUAGUCC